rnacentral:rRNA from 1 species
UACAGAGGGGGCAAGCGUUGUUCGGAAUUACUGGGCGUAAAGGGCGCGUAGGCGGCCCGCUAAGUCGAACGUGAAAUCCCCGGGCUCAACCCGGGAACUGCGUCCGAUACUGGCAGGCUUGAAUCCGGGAGAGGGAUGCGGAAUUCCAGGUGUAGCGGUGAAAUGCGUAGAUAUCGGGAGGAACACCUGUGGCGAAAGCGGCGCACUGGACCACAACUGACGCUGAGGCGCGAAAGCCAGGGGAGCAAACGGG